rnacentral:rRNA from 1 species
AUGGAUAUGUCCAGGUUGCAUUUUUUCUUCCUCCACCCCAUGUUUCAACUUAUAAUUUAUCAAAUUCCUUCCCAGUCUCCUUCAAACCUCUCCAAUCCCCUUGGGGAAGGGAUUAAACGAACAAGCCCUCAGGAAUUACAAUUGGUGGGGUUGUUUUCCCUGGCUCAACUCUUUCAAAUCACAAUCCUGACAAUUGAUAGCCAUGUUAACAACCAUCCUCAAGCAAAGCCAAGCAAAGAGCAUAUCACUGUGUGGGAAAAAGGAGCAAAAUUGGUUGAUGUUCUCCAUGGUGAUGAAGCGGCUGUCAUAAUUCAAACAUCUCGUGCUAACUUAGAGUGUAUGUACCCUAGAAAGCUGGUCCUUGUUGCAAUUGUUCAGGCACUGGUCCAGAGGCGUUUCAAAGAUGCAAUGGACAUGGUAAGACGCCAUCGAAUAUAUUUCAAUAUGUUCGUUGAUUAUUGUGGAUGGAAAGCUUUUAUCAAGUCAGCAUUAGAUUUUGUUCAAGAAGUCAAUAACCUUAGCCGCAUCACUGAAUUUGUUUGCUCAAUUAAGAAUGAGAAUGUCAGCAGCAAAUUGUAUGAGGCCUCAAUGGAUAGUGAGAAUCUGCAUGGCGCCUUGUCAGAGAACAAAGUAACAUCUGCACUGAUGUCAAUCAGAAAAGCCCUUGAGGAACAAAUAGAAGAAAGCUCAUCUCGAGAACUCUGCAUACUUACCACUUUGGCGUGUAGCGAACCUCCAUUGUUGGAAGAAACAUUGAAUAGAAUUAAAGUCAUUCGAGAACUGGAACUUCAUGGGGUUGAUGAUGGCCGACGGAAGCUUUACCCAUCUGCUGAAGAGUCUUUGAAGCACUUGCUUUGGCUAAGAGAACCAGAAACUGUUUUUAAUGCUGCUUUGGGAUUGUAUGAUCUGAGUCUUGCUGCUAUAGUUGCUUUAAAUUCCCAAAAAGAUCCAAAGGAGUUCCUUCCUUUUCUUAAGGGUCUUGAAUGCCUACCUCCUUCUUUUAUGAGGUACACAAUAGAUUUGAAACUUUCAAGAUAUGAGAGUGCUCUCAGAAACAUUGUGUCUCCUGGUAAUGAGUAUCAUGCGGACUGCAUGGAACUCCUUAAUUCUAACCCUCAGUUGUUCCUACUAGGCCUCCAGCAUGGGGCGACCCGUCUUUUUGAAGAGAAAUGCUUUGGAGAAGCUACAAUAACUUAUCAAUGCUGCUCAUCAUAUCAGAAAUCUUUGAAAGCUUAUCAUGCCUGUGGGGACUACAGACGUGUGUUCACUGUUACAGGCCUUCUGAACUUCACAAAGGAAGACAUUCUUCAACUAGCACAGGAGCUGUGUGACGAGUUCCAAGCACUCGGGAAGCCAGGAGAUGCCGCCAAAACCGAGCAUUGUUUAGAUGUUGAUAGAGGUGUAGGCUGCUACAUCAUGGCAAGAGAAUGGGAAGAGGCUCUUAGAGUGGCUUAUAUGCACAGCAGGCAGGAUCUUGUUGAUACUGUUAAAGAUGCAGCUCUGGAGUUUGCUGCAUUGUUGAUAUCCGAGUAUCAAGAAGGAUUGCUGAAGGUGGGUAAAUAUCUUGCACGCUACGUUGCUGUGCGGAAGAGGAGAUUAUCUCUCGCAGCUAAACUACAGUCAAAGGACGCUAAAAAGCUCCAGCUUGUUGUUGACGCUGUUGGACUUGGUAAGCUUGAUGAAGCCGAGGUCCAUAAGAAAAAUAUUAUGCCGUCAUCCUAUACCGGUGGGCGUCGCUGUAUAACUGAAAACUUCCACGCCGCGAUGACUAUUUCCCGUUUCCAAGCCUCGCCUGAUAUAAUCACAACUUUCACGUGUAAUCCAAAGUGGCUUGAAAUAAUGGAGAGUCCUGAACCUGGGCAAAAAAUAGUCAAUAGGGCUGAUAUUACCGUUCGAGUAUAUCACAUGAAACUGCUUGAGUACCUACAGAAGAUCAGGACCGGAAAGAUGUUUGGGACUGUAGUUCCUGGUACCAUGGCCUGUGCAUUUUCUCUCCUUUCUUUGUUUUUCUUACCCACGUUUCUCUUUGUAUAG